AUAAAUCAAAACUUUCAACAACGGAUCUCUUGGUUCUGGCAUCGAUGAAGAACGCAGCAAAAUGCGAUAAGUAAUGUGAAUGCAGAAUUCAGUGAAUCAUCGAAUCUUUGAACCACAUUGCGCCCGCCAGUAUUCUGGCGGGCAUGCCUGUUCGA
rnacentral:rRNA from 1 species